CACGUAGGGACCAAGCGUUGUUCGGAUUUACUGGGCGUAAAGGGCGCGUAGGCGGCGUGGUAAGUCACUUGUGAAAUCUCUGAGCUUAACUCAGAACGGCCAAGUGAUACUGCUGUGCUAGAGUGCAGAAGGGGCAAUCGGAAUUCUUGGUGUAGCGGUGAAAUGCGUAGAUAUCAAGAGGAACACCUGAGGUGAAGACGGGUUGCUGGGCUGACACUGACGCUGAGGCGCGAAAGCCAGGGGAGCAAACGGG
rnacentral:rRNA from 1 species